rnacentral:tRNA from 1 species
UCCCCGGUGUCUCAGACGGUAAAGAAUCUUCCUGUAAUGUGGGAGACCCAGGUUCCAUCCCUGGCUUAGGAA